UACGUAGGGUCCGAGCGUUGUCCGGAAUUACUGGGCGUAAAGAGCUCGUAGGUGGUUUGUCGCGUUGUUCGUGAAAACUCACAGCUCAACUGUGGGCGUGCGGGCGAUACGGGCAGACUAGAGUACUGCAGGGGAGACUGGAAUUCCUGGUGUAGCGGUGAAAUGCGCAGAUAUCAGGGGGAACACCGGUGGCGAAGGCGGGUCUCUGGGCCGAUACUGACGCUGAGGAGCGAAAGCGUGGGGAGCGAACAGG
rnacentral:rRNA from 1 species